rnacentral:rRNA from 1 species
CACUCCUGCGGGAGGCAGCAGUGGGGAAUAUUGGACAAUGGGCGCAAGCCUGAUCCAGCCAUGCCGCGUGAGUGAUGAAGGCCCUAGGGUUGUAAAGCUCUUUCACCGGUGAAGAUAAUGACGGUAACCGGAGAAGAAGCCCCGGCUAACUUCGUGCCAGCAGCCGCGGUAAUACGAAGGGGGCUAGCGUUGUUCGGAUUUACUGGGCGUAAAGCGCACGUAGGCGGACUAUUAAGUCAGGGGUGAAAUCCCGGGGCUCAACCCCGGAACUGCCUUUGAUACUGGUAGUCUUGAGUUCGAGAGAGGUGAGUGGAAUUCCGAGUGUAGAGGUGAAAUUCGUAGAUAUUCGGAGGAACACCAGUGGCGAAGGCGGCUCACUGGCUCGAUACUGACGCUGAGGUGCGAAAGCGUGGGGAGCAAACAGGAUUAGAUACCCGUGUAGUCCCAUG